ensembl:snRNA U5 U5 spliceosomal RNA
ACAUUUUUGUCUCUCUCCAGAUUAUACAAAUCUUUCACAUUUUACUAAAAAUUUCCUUGGAGCAGAACAAAUUUGAGUCUUAACUUUUUGAGGCCUUGUUUACACAGGAC